rnacentral:rRNA from 1 species
AGUGAACGCUGGCGGUAGGCCUAACACAUGCAAGUCGAACGGCAGCACAGUAAGAGCUUGCUCUUACGGGUGGCGAGUGGCGGACGGGUGAGGAAUACAUCGGAAUCUACUUUUUCGUGGGGGAUAACGUAGGGAAACUUACGCUAAUACCGCAUACGACCUACGGGUGAAAGCAGGGGAUCUUCGGACCUUGCGCGAUUGAAUGAGCCGAUGUCGGAUUAGCUAGUUGGCGGGGUAAAGGCCCACCAAGGCGACGAUCCGUAGCUGGUCUGAGAGGAUGAUCAGCCACACUGGGACUGAGACACGGUCCAGACUCCUACGGGAGGCAGCAGUGGGGAAUAUUGGACAAUGGGCGCAAGCCUGAUCCAGCCAUACCGCGUGGGUGAAGAAGGCCUUCGGGUUGUAAAGCCCUUUUGUUGGGAAAGAAAAGCAGCAGGUUAAUACCCCGCCGUUCUGACGGUACCCAAAGAAUAAGCACCGGCUAACUUCGUG